AGUUUUCUCAUUUUUGUGGCAAUACUCGAAGUGAACAUGAAGACUAUAUUGGCACUGUGUUUCAUGGUUCUGUUAGGGCUAGCGGUCGCCCAGAACCGUGGACCGUGUGGCUGCUUAAGGACCUUCGAUUUUUGCGCCAACGACCACCAGACGUAUCACAGUAUCUGCGAGUACAAGUGCAAA